CCUACGGGAGGCAGCAGUAGGGAAUAUUGCUCAAUGGGGGAAACCCUGAAGCAGCAACGCCGCGUGGAGGAUGACGGUUUUCGGAUUGUAAACUUCUUUUGUUAGAGAAGAUAAUGACGGUAUCUAACGAAUAAGCACCGGCUAACUCCGUGCCAGCAGCCGCGGUAAUGCGGAGGGUGCAAGCGUUACUCGGAAUCACUGGGCGUAAAGCGCGCGUAGACGGGAUAGCAAGUCAGAUGUGAAAUUCUUUGGCUUAACCAUAGAACUGCAUUUGAAACUGGUAGUCUAGAGUAUGGGAGAGGUAGGUGGAAUUCUUGGUGUAGCGGUAAAAUGCGUAGAGAUCAAGAGGAAUACUCAUUGCGAAGGCGACCUGCUAGAA
rnacentral:rRNA from 1 species